CAUGCACCAGUGGGGUCCCUUGGCCUGGCCUGUGGGAUCAGGCCAAAACUGGCUCUCCAACAUCCCCCGAAGGAUCCCGGAUUGCAAGAGGGCACAGGCCAGGCCAAGGGACCCCACCGGUGCACG
rfam:Myotis lucifugus cont2.48437, whole genome shotgun sequence.